UCCCCCUGUCACUGGGCAAGGGCACAUCACGUGAUGUGUAUCUUAUAUCUGACGGGGGCAGAGUAAAUGCCAUAUUCAUCCCAGCACAGCUGUGUGGUCACUGUCAGCUGGUUCAUGCUAUGGGUACAAAC